rnacentral:rRNA from 1 species
UGAGGAAUAUUGGUCAAUGGACGCAAGUCUGAACCAGCCAAGUAGCGUGCAGGAUGACGGCCCUAUGGGUUGUAAACUGCUUUUAUAUGGGGAUAAAGUGGGGAACGUGUUCCCUUUUGCAGGUACCACAUGAAUAAGGACCGGCUAAUUCCGUGCCAGCAGCCGCGGUAAUACGGAAGGUUCGGGCGUUAUCCGGAUUUAUUGGGUUUAAAGGGAGCGUAGGCCGUUUGGUAAGCGUGUUGUGAAAUGUAGGAGCUCAACUUCUAGAUUGCAGCGCGAACUGUCAGACUUGAGUGCGCACAACGUAGGCGGAAUUCAUGGUGUAGCGGUGAAAUGCUUAGAUAUCAUGAAGAACUCCGAUUGCGAAGGCAGCUUACGGGAGCGCAACUGACGCUGAAGCUCGAAGGUGCGGGUAUCGAACAGG